rnacentral:rRNA from 1 species
AGUGAACGCUGGCGGUAGGCCUAACACAUGCAAGUCGAACGGCAGCACAGUAAGAGCUUGCUCUUACGGGUGGCGAGUGGCGGACGGGUGAGGAAUACAUCGGAAUCUACUUUUUCGUGGGGGAUAACGUAGGGAAACUUACGCUAAUACCGCAUACGACCUACGGGUGAAAGCAGGGGAUCUUCGGACCUUGCGCGAUUGAAUGAGCCGAGGUCGGAUUAGCUAGUUGGCGGGGUAAAGGCCCACCAAGGCGACGAUCCGUAGCUGGUCUGAGAGGAUGAUACGCCACACUGGAACUGGGGCACGGUCCAGACUACUACGGGAGGCAGCAGUGGGGGAUAUUGGACAAUGGGCGCAAGCCUGAUCCAGCCAUACCGCGUGGGUGAAGAAGGCCUUCGGGUUGUAAAGCCCUUUUGUUGGGAAAGAAAAGCAGCAGGUUAAUACCCCGCUGUUCUGACGGUACCCAAAGAAUAAGCACCGGCUAACUUCGUG